AGAGUUUGAUCAUGGCUCAGGACGAACGCUGGCGGCGUGCUUAAGACAUGCAAGUCGAGCGGAGCCCUUCGGGGUUCAGCGGCGGACGGGUGAGUAACACGUGGAUAACCUGCCCUUUGUUCCGGGAUAACAGGCCGAAAGGCCUGCUAAUACGGGAUAAGCUCACGGAGUCGCAUGGCUCUGGGAGAAGAGGCGCUGCAAGGCGCUGACAGAGGAGGGGUCCGCGGUCCAUUAGCUAGUUGGAGGGGUAACGGCCCACCAAGGCGACGAUGGAUAGCCGGCCUGAGAGGGCGAUCGGCCACACUGGGACUGAGACACGGCCCAGACUCCUACGGGAGGCGGCAGUCGGGAAUUUUGGACAAUGGCCGAAAGGCUGAUCCAGCAACGCCGCGUGAGUGAAGAAGGCCUUCGGGUUGUAAAGCUCUGUUGCCCGUGAAGAACGGCCGCAUCAGGAAAUGGGUGCGGAUUGACGGUAACGGGAGAGGAAGCCCCGGCAAACUACGUGCCAGCAGCCGCGGUAAUACGUAGGCGGCGAGCGUUGUCCGGAUUUAUUGGGCGUAAAGGGCGUGUAGGCGGUCUGGUAAGUCGGGGGUGAAAACCCGGGGCUCAACCCCGAGGAGUGCCUCCGAUACUGCUGGACUUGAGUGCUCUAGAGGGUAGUGGAAUUGCCGGUGUAGCAGUGAAAUGCGUAGAGAUCGGCAGGAACACCAGUGGCGAAGGCGACUGCCUGGGGAGUAACUGACGCUGAGGCGCGAAAGCUAGGGGAGCGAACAGGAUUAGAUACCUCUGGUAGUCCUAGCCGUAAACGAUGAGUGCUAUGUGUGAGGGGUAUCGACCCCCCUC
rnacentral:rRNA from 1 species